CUACGGGGGGCUCCAGUGGGGAAUAUUGGACAAUGGGGGAAACCCUGAUCCAGCAAUGCCGCGUGAGUGAUGAAGGCCUUAGGGUUGUAAAGCUCUUUUACCAGGGAUGAUAAUGACAGUACCUGGAGAAUAAGCUCCGGCUAACUCCGUGCCAGCAGCCGCGGUAAUACGGAGGGAGCUAGCGUUGUUCGGAAUUACUGGGCGUAAAGCGCACGUAGGCGGUUACUCAAGUCAGAGGUGAAAGCCCGGGGCUCAACCCCGGAAUAGCCUUUGAAACUAGGUGACUAGAAUCUUGGAGAGGCGAGUGGAAUUCCGAGUGUAGAGGUGAAAUUCGUAGAUAUUCGGAAGAACACCAGUGGCGAAGGCGGCUCGCUGGACAAGUAUUGACGCUGAGGUGCGAAAGCGUGGGGAGCAAACAGGAUUAGAUACCCCCGUAGUC
rnacentral:rRNA from 1 species